UGCGAAAGCGUGGGGAGCAAACAGGAUUAGAUACCUGGUAGUCCACGCUGUAAACGAUGUCGAUUUGGAGGUUGUUCCCUUGAGGAGUGGCUUCCGGAGCUAACGCGUUAAAUCGACCGCUGGGGAGUACGGCCGCAAGGUUAAAACUCAAAUGAAUUGACGGGGGCCCGCACAAGCGGUGGAGCAUGUGGUUUAAUUCGAUGCAACGCGAAGAACCUUACCUACUCUUGACAUCCAGAGAAUUUAGCAGAGAUGCUUUAGUGCCUUCGGGAACUCUGAGACAGGUGCUGCAUGGCUGUCGUCAGCUCGUGUUGUGAAAUGUUGGGUUAAGUCCCGCAACGAGCGCAACCCUUAUCCUUUGUUGCCAGCACGUUAUGGUGGGAACUCAAAGGAGACUGCCGGUGAUAAACCGGAGGAAGGUGGGGAUGACGUCAAGUCAUCAUGGCCCUUACGAGUAGGGCUACACACGUGCUACAAUGGCGUAUACAAAGAGAAGCGACCUCGCGAGAGCAAGCGGAACUCAUAAAGUACGUCGUAGUCCGGAUUGGAGUCUGCAACUCGACUCCAUGAAGUCGGAAUCGCUAGUAAUCGUAGAUCAGAAUGCUACGGUGAAUACGUUCCCGGGCCUUGUACACACCGCCCGUCACACCAUGGGAGUGGGUUGCAAAAGAAGUAGGUAGCUUAACCUUCGGGAGGGCGCUUACCACUUUGUGAUUCAUGACUGGGGUGAAGUCGUAACAAGGUAACCA
rnacentral:rRNA from 1 species